rnacentral:rRNA from 1 species
GCGGGCUAACGAGACGAUGCAUUUUGGAGGGAACUUGCUCCGAAGAUCAUGAGCAUAUCUAUGUAUGUAAUCGACUACGGAGUCNUCGAGCUGUCCAUAGUAUGUAGUAUGCUACAGCGAUGCGUAGGACUGGAGUGCCCCCACAUGACUGAACCGUCAUCACUACGGUGCACAGUAGGAUAUGGUAUGUGGAAGCGGACCAGCACGCGCGUGCACAUGAGCCUUCGGGUCGAUAGUGCUUUAGAGAGAUGAGAAGGACAGUACUUCUGAAUAAGCCUCGGCUAACUACGUGCCAGCAGCCGCGGUAAAACGUAGGAGGCUAGCGUUAUCCGGAUUUACUGGGCGUAAAGCGCAUGCAGGUGGUUUUGUAAGUUGGAUGUGAAAGCUCCUGGCUUAACUGGGAGAGGUCGUUCAAAACUACAAGACUUGAGAUUGGUAGAGGAAGAUGGAAUUCCGGGUGUAGUGGUGAAAUGCGUAGAUAUCCGGAGGAACACCAGUGGCGAAAGCGGUCUUCUGGACCAACUCUGACACUCAGAUGCGAAAGCUAAGGUAGCAAACGGGAUUAGAGACCCCGGUAGUCUUAGCUGUAAACUAUGUGAACUUGGCGUCGGUGGGUUUAAAUCCAUCGGUGCCGAAGCUAACGCGAUAAGUUCACCGCCUGGGGACUACGGCCGCAAGGUUAAAACUCAAAGGAAUUGACGGGGCCCCGCACAAGCAGCGGAGCGUGUGGUUUAAUUCGAUGUUACACGAAGAACCUUACCAGGGUUUGACAUGCAGGUGGUAGGAAGCCGAAAGGUGACCGACUCUUCGGAGAGCCUGCACAGGUGCUGCAUGGCUGUCGUCAGCUCGUGUCGUGAGAUGUUCGGUUAAGUCCCGCAACGAGC